AUACGGAGGGUGCAAGCGUUACUCGGAAUCACUGGGCGUAAAGCGCGCGCAGGCGGCUUGAUAAGUUGGAUGUGAAAGCCUACGGCUCAACCGUAGAACUGCAUCCAAAACUGUCAAACUAGAGUCUGGGAGGGGAAGAUGGAAUUAGUUGUGUAGGGGUAAAAUCCGUAGAGAUAACUAGGAAUACCAAAAGCGAAGGCGAUCUUCUGGAACAGUACUGACGCUGAGGCGCGAAAGCGUGGGGAGCAAGCAGGAUUAGAUACCCCAGUAGUCC
rnacentral:rRNA from 1 species